rnacentral:rRNA from 1 species
CCUACGGGAGGCAGCAGUGGGGAAUAUUGCACAAUGGGGGAAACCCUGAUGCAGCGACGCCGCGUGAGUGAAGAAGUAUUUCGGUACGUAAAGCUCUAUCAGCAGGGAAGAAAAUGACGGUACCUGACUAAGAAGCCCCGGCUAACUACGUGCCAGCAGCCGCGGUAAU